CCUACGGGAGGCAGCAGUGAGGAAUAUUGGUCAAUGGCCGAUAGGCUGAACCAGCCAAGUAGCGUGAAGGAUGAAUGUCCUAUGGGUUGUAAACUUCUUUUGUCAGGGAAUAAAGUGAUCCACGUGUGGGGGUUUGUGUGUACCUUAUGAAAAAGCAUCGGCUAACUCCGUGCCAGCAGCCGCGGUAAUACGGAGGAUGCGAGCGUUAUCCGGAUUUAUUGGGUUUAAAGGGUGCGUAGGCGGGUUAUCAAGUCAGCGGUAAAAUUUGGGGGCUCAACCCCAUCGUGCCGUUGAAACUGAUGAUCUUGAGUGGGCGAGAGGUAUGCGGAAUGCGUGGUGUAGCGGUGAAAUGCAUAGAUAUCACGCAGAACUCCGAUUGCGAAGGCAGCAUACCGGCGCCCAACUGACGCUGAAGCACGAAAGCGUGGGUAUCGAACAGGAUUAGAUACCCCUGUAGUC
rnacentral:rRNA from 1 species